UAAGUCUCACACCAGUGCAAAACAAAACACAUCAAGCUGCUCGGGUGUGGGACCAUGA
ensembl:miRNA gmo-mir-10545 gmo-mir-10545